ACCCGCGAGACUGCCCGCGACAGGGGCGGUCCGGGCGCAGUCUAGCGGCUUCCGGUCGUUGGAGGUGUGGUUCUGUGCUGCCUGCUUGGAGAUUAAAGUGUUUAUUUUCGGCAACACACUAUUGCCGUGGCACCUGGGAGCGUCAAGUAAGCCAUUUCAGAAGAAAGUGAGGUGCAGGACUGAACUAAGUGGCUGAUCCAAGGAAUGUCCUAUGUUGAAAAGCUGGGCAAAUCAGAAGAAAGAACUCCCCUACUUAAAGGUCCCUCAGGAUGUUUGCCUGUGAAGAAAAUCAGCUCAGAGACCCUGGAAGCUCUCCUGUGACAGUAUGUCCUAAAGCCCAACCCAUCCACCUGUUUACAUGUCUGUGCUUCUGAGAACCUAGAUGCAGCUACAUAGGCACUGCUACCAGAGAAGAGGUGAGGUAGCCGGGUGGUGAGGAAGAGAUCUCUCCUUUCACACCUGCUUACGAUGAUGACAUUUGGACCUCUAUGGGCAUCUCCAUUCCAUUCCUCAGCAGGCUAUGCCACAGAGCUCUGUUCAACACCAGGAGACUCAAUGCAGGAAGAGUACCAGAGCGUCCGCUGAGAGUCAGGUAAGCAUGAAAACCUUCACAGCUUACUGCACAAUGAAAUGUCAUCCACAGGACUUCUGAUCUUGGUACGAGAAUCUUGUCCAGGACUCACAGGGGCUCAUGGUGCCCACAUUCAACCCUAACAUGGUGUUCACUUAUGAAGCAUGGAGGUUGUGGAUCAACUCUUGGUACACAAUAAACUGGAAGUUUAAAAAAAGGAAUUUAAAACAACCUAAAAGUGGUUCAUGUUGGUCUCCGUUGCCCAGACUGCCAGGGGAGUACACCUAAUUGAUCUGGUGGGCUGUGGGGGGUUGGGGAAGAAGCCUCCAUGGAUCACCGUCAAUUCCAGUAGUCAGUGUGUGGCCAACAUAUGUGGGAAAUCGCCAGACAACAGUCUUCUGAACCCACACAGCCAUUCUCACUGGUUAUUGGGGAGCCCUGAUCCAACAGAACCCCAGAUUGAGGGAAAGGCUGAUAUAAGGCUUGGGCCCCUCAUGUUCUGUUGCAUUCAAUGUAUCCCCACACCCUCCAGUCAGCAGGAGGCAGACUUGGCAACGGAAGCUAGCAUCAUAAAAUGGUGCAGUAAUAGAAGUAACUGGACCAGGAAGAGGAGGCAUCUGCUCCAAUGAUGUCAUAGCCAUUGGUGGCCACAGGGGGGUGGGACUGGUCAUGUAGCCUUGUGUCAGGAGUAAUGAUUGUAGAGGGGCGGGGCAUGAAGAGUGCCAUUCUGGAAACAGUGCUGUCGAGAAGCAAUAUACUCUGCAUAACUGAUUGUCACCUUCUCACUUCGAUACCUGUACGAGGAAACAGACAAAGGUAUUAGGAACCCCAAAUACCUCAAUGUGAAGGAAGAGUCACUCAGUAGAGAAAACCAAAAGCUUAUCCCACAGUCUCAAAGAAUAAAAUGGAAGACCAAGAGCAAUCUUACUUACAGAAAAUGAAAGACGGCACAAGAAAUGAUGCUGUUCUUACAAAUGAACAAGAUGAGAAAGCACAUCACAGUUCACCCCUGAGAAUGUAUCUCAGCACACCCCACCUCAAAAUGCUACAUAUGCUUAUCAACAGGCUGCUGGUAAGCAAUCUGCUACCAGGAUCUGCAUGAGGGAUUUCAGAGUCAAAUUACAAGGGUGGCAGAUUGGAAGAUGGCUGCACCAAACCCCAGUGUAAACUGCAUUAGCUAUGCUCAGGUUUAAAAUGAGAUAAAUUUGACAGAAAUGCAACCUCAACUUGUAGAAGAGCAACAAACAGGUUAUAACUAAAAGGGGCAUAGAUACCUAAUUCUGGGUCAAAUUCUGGUGAAGCAGGUUAAUGGAUCCUUGGCUAUAGGAAGGUCUCACUCCCCAGAUGAAUAUGCCAUAUCACGGGGUCAUCAGAACAGAAUUCAUAGCACUUUGGCUUUGCUCUGGAAAGAGCCAUGAGUCAGGAUGCAAAGCAUGGGUGUUACAAACCUAUGGAGCCUACUACAGACCACAGGAGCUGGGUGACAAUCCUUACCCAGAGCCAUCUCUUUCCCACUGUAAUCACUCCUCCACUGCAAGGUGAUUAUUCCUGAAUUUUGACAGGGAAAUGGCUGUUCAAAUAAAUUGUAAUAGUAAUAAUGCUUUGUAUUUGCAGUGUUUUUAUUAUUAUUACUAUUAUUAUAUUUUGGUGCUGGAGGUGGAACCCAGGGCCUUGAGCGUAUAUACUAUGUAUUAAGUUCUACCAAUGAGUGGAAGUCCCAGCCCCUUGACUUUUUGGAAUUUAAUGCAUUCAAAAACACUGGGUUAUCUUCCAAACAGACCUGUGAGGCUGGCAUACGGUGACUCAGCAUUUUGUAGACGAGGGUCAUAGCAAAGGCCCACCAAAGCUAACUUCUCUCUCUGUCCCCAACAUCAGCACAAAAGAACACUGACAUCCACUGAACACCUCCAGUGUUGCCCUUGGCUGAAAACACUAUACCUUACCUUAAAAACUGAAGGAAUUACAACUCACAUCUUACA
rnacentral:sRNA from 1 species